rnacentral:sRNA from 1 species
GCAAUGGGAGUUUCUCAAGGGUGGUCGGCUAGCCCCGUAUGAAAGGGGGUGAUGCCUUUUGACAGUUUUCGAAUCGAUCAUGAUGAUGAUUUCCUUUUCUAGUCUGAUCAUUGCUGUCAUGACUUUUAACCAUAAAAAAUAGACCUCCCUUGAUCUGACAAUUGAGGGAGAGGUCUAUGUCUUUGACAGGCCGAUCCCCUAAGGGAACGACUAUUGCGAAUGACCGUGGGUGCGGCAACACCUGCG